UUUCCGUAGGUGAACCUGCGGAAGGAUCAUUAAAAGUAAAUAUGUAUUCUCUCGAAUAUGCAUUUUCAAACCCAUCUGCGUACAUUACCCGUUGCUUCCGCGAGGCAGUGAUCUUCGAUCACCUCCCGACGAUGGCGUAGGUCAUCCGGUGGGGAGCCCUCGCGAAAGGUUUACACCAAACCCUUGCAUUCCUAUGUCAUCUGUCUGAAACUGUUUAUAACAAAUGUUAAAACUUUCAACAACGGAUCUCUUGGUUCUC
rnacentral:misc_RNA from 1 species